GGAGACCAGUCCUAGAUUCAGGCAAAUAUGCUGGAUAAUGGUAUUUAAGAUUACAGAGCAAACAGAUUCAGGGUUGUUUCUCAGCAUAGUGUGCAGAUGGCAAACCAGGCUACUAUGGAAUCAGAAUCACAUCACAGUCUCUUAUACACA